GGUAGUGUGGCCGAGUGGUCAAAGGCAGCAGACUGUAAAUCUGCCGGCUUUCGCCUACGGUGGUUCGAAUCCACCCGCUACCA
rnacentral:tRNA from 1 species